UACGGGGGGGGCAAGCGUUGUUCGGAAUUACUGGGCGUAAAGGGCUCGUAGGCGGCCAACUAAGUCAGACGUGAAAUCCCUCGGCUUAACCGGGGAACUGCGUCUGAUACUGGAUGGCUAGAGUUUGGGAGAGGGAUGCGGAAUUCCAGGUGUAGCGGUGAAAUGCGUAGAUAUCUGGAGGAACACCGGUGGCGAAGGCGGCAUCCUGGACCAACACUGACGCUGUAAAACGAAAGCCAGGGGAGCAAACGGG
rnacentral:rRNA from 1 species